rnacentral:rRNA from 1 species
UAGGGAAUCUUCCACAAUGGACGAAAGUCUGAUGGAGCAACGCCGCGUGAGUGAAGAAGGGUUUCGGCUCGUAAAACUCUGUUGUUAAAGAAGAACAUAUCUGAGAGUAACUGUUCAGGUAUUGACGGUAUUUAACCAGAAAGCCACGGCUAACUGCGUACCAG